CCACCGCGGUUAUACGAGUGACUCACAUUAAUACAUCCCGGCGUAAAGAGUGAUUUAAGAAUGACCUCCUAUCAUUAAAGUUUAGACCUUAUAAAGCCGUUAUACGCAUCCAUAAGUGGAAUAAACAACAACGAAAGUGACUUUAUAAAUCAAGGAACCUUGACCUCACGACAGUUGGGACCCAAACUAGGAUUAGAUACCCUACUAUGCCCAACCAUAAACUUAGACAACACUCCACUAUAUUGUUCGCCAGAAUACUACAAGCGCUAGCUUAAAACCCAAAGGACUUGGCGGUAUCCCACACCCACCUAGAGGAGCCUGUUCUAUAACCGAUAAUCCCCGUUCAACCUCACCACUCCUUGCCAUUACCGUCUAUAUACCGCCGUCGUCAGCUCACCCUGUGAAGGACUAAAAGUAAGCAAAAAGAAUUAAACUCCAAAACGUCAGGUCGAGGUGUAGCAAAUGAAGUGGGAAGAAAUGGGCUACAUUUUUUUUCAAAAAUAAACGAAUGGUAAACUGAAAAAACACCUAAAGGUGGAUUUAGCAGUAAGAGGAGGUCAGAGUACUCCCCUGAAAUUGGCUCUGGGAUAAGCACACACCGCCCGUCACUCUCCUCAAAAUAAUCUACUUUUUCCAUAAAUACAUUUCCUCAACAAGAGGAGGCAAGUCGUAACAUGGUAAGUG
rnacentral:rRNA from 1 species